rnacentral:rRNA from 1 species
AGUGAACGCUGGCGGUAGGCCUAACACAUGCAAGUCGAACGGCAGCACAGUAAGAGCUUGCUCUUACGGGUGGCGAGUGGCGGACGGGUGAGGAAUACAUCGGAAUCUACUUUUUCGUGGGGGAUAACGGAGGGAAACUUACGCUAAUACCGCAUACGACCUACGGGUGAAAGCAGUGGAUCUUCGGACCUUGCGCGAUUGAAUGAGCCGAUGUCGGAUUAGCUAGUUGGCGGGGUAAAGGCCCACCAAGGCGACGAUCCGUAGCUGGUCUGAGAGGAUGAUCAGCCACACUGGAACUGAGACACGGUCCAGACUCCUACGGGAGGCAGCAGUGGGGAAUCUUGGACAAUGGGCGCAAGCCUGAUCCAGCCAUACCGCGUGGGUGAAGAAGGCCUUCGGGUUGUAAAGCCCUUUUGUUGGGAAAGAACAGCAGCAGGUUAAUCCCCCGCUGUUCUGACGGUACCCAAAGAAUAAGCACCGGCUAACUUCGUG